ACCAGAUAGAAGAAAAAGCUUUAAAUCCAAACAGACUUUAGGGAAAGACACGAGUCCAAGCAACCAUCUACUUAAAGGGGAAACUGUAUUCAUGUGUUCAGGAUAUGAGGGGCAAGAUCAUUUUAAACCAAGUAUUACAUCUAAAACACAUCGCAGAUGACAAAAAUCAUUGUUCUAGGUGGCAUCUUUCCUGCCUGAGUCUGAAAUGUGAGUGAUUGUCUUGAAAAGUCUAUCAUUCUCCACACAGGGCUUCUUCUAAUGGAACAGGAAAAAAACAAAAAGACAGAACAAAAAACAGAACAAGCCUCGGACCAAAGCCAGGAUAGAAGGGGUGAAAGACGGAGACAUCCUGGUGUUCAGGGCUGAAGAAUCCCCAUUUGCUGUCUGACACUGUUCCUUUUUUCCUCCUGGAGGUUGGAUGGUGGCUGCUGUUGUGGCAAAUGCUGGGCAAAGACUAAAGCUUUCUACAAUGUCCGAACCUCGAGGACUACAAAUGUUUCGAGCCCCGAACAUCAAAUCUUCCAUCUACUGCUGUCAGAUGUCUUGGGGAUUUUCAGAACUCUGAGGAUAGUAGUUUCCCAGGGGAUCUUAUCUCAAUGAAGUAAAAUUUUGAGGCUCCAAUGCUCCUGGACUUUCAGAGGUUUGGGGUAAGUCCCAGCUGCACGUUCAACCAGCUUCAGACCUCAGCAGUUUCUAGUUCUAGGAAUCCAAGUUUCUUCAUUGCUAAAGUGGGAAUAAUAGAACUUUGCUAACAAUCAGACUGUUGUGACAAGCAAGUGAGGUAAACAUCAAGGACUUUGGCACCGUGCCUGGCACAGACGAGACUUAAUGAGUGGUGGAUAUGUUUAUGGUUAUCACAGUAUUCUUAACAUUAAACCUCUGUACAGAAACCGAAAUAUUCUUACCACACGCUAAUCUAUUUUAAAUAAAUUGGUCUAGAGAAGAAAUUUCCUUAGUCCUGCCAACUCCAUCUGACGCAGCUCUGUAAGGAGUAAUCGUUUUGUAGGCGUGCUACAAAACAGAAAUAGAGUGUGAGUCUCAUGUGUAGCUUAAAAUGGCUACUAGCUGUUUCAACAGAAGCAAAGAAAACGUGAGAUUAAUCUCAACAUGCAUUUUUUUCUCUUAAAUUUAACUUGUUCUCAAUGAAAGUUGUGUUUAAGAAUCACUCUAAUCCCAAAUCAUCUCAGUGUGUCCCAUAGAGUGGCUUUUUUCUUUCCCUAUUUGGCAGGCUUGACUCUCCAUUGCUUUUUCCUACCGUUCUCCAGUCUCACCUGGUGACAGCCAUCUUGCCAGGGUGAAUGCCCACAUGGACAGCUAGCUGUGCCAUUAACCUUUUCCUGCUGUUCCCAUUAAAUAUAAAGGACAUUUUUUUUCUUCCUUGGAACCUGGACUGCUUUGCUAGUCUGCUGACCCUUCACGUCCUCUCACAACCAGAGCUUCAUUCUUUAGGACGGGUGGGGAUUGGGCAUGAUACCUCUGUUGCAAGUCUCUGGAAAGAGGAGGAGACACAGCCCUCCUUGAGUGUGAAUGGUGUGCUGAAAUGCUUUUCCGGGCUCCUGCUUUAGCAGGAAUUCCCAGGAGCCUGAACAUCACUUGGCAGCUUCUGCUCCAGCAAUGGAUGGACCAGGGAAGGAUGACGUACUCUGCUCAAUCCAGCGCAAUAGAAUAGUAUUAUUGCAAUAUAAAACCAAUAUAAGUGGUUGUUCAUGCAACACCGUGUGUUUGGGAGAAGACUGUUUCAAAACCCAAUGUGUGUUCUACUUAUAAAGGGAAUAUCUCAGUUACUGACUGAAUUGUAACUAUCACUGGGCACCAUAACUUCAUAGCAUUACAUGGAAAACUCCUGCCUCAUCAAGAAACCCUAUGAUGUCAGACACCCACACAACGCAACCGGUAUUAUAGGACAAUAUGCUUCUCUGAAGAUGAUUUACAUUGAGCUACCAGACUUAGGUUCUGCUCUUGGUAUUGCCCUCCACUUGGUUGGGAUCAUCCUGGGAUUUUAACUGGGUCACAAGGCCAUAAAACAUGAUCAGUCUCUCAAACUGAUCUGCUUUAUUACUAAUUUCUCCUAUUGCAUAAGUGACAAGUCACCUGCAUUAUUUUACUUCAGAAACUUAUUAUCUUUCCGUGGUGGGGAGGCAGCUGAAUAGGACUCUCCUUCGCAUGUUCAAUAACCCGGAAGUGAAUUGUCUCCCGAAGGCCAUAUUUCCCUUAUGUAACCAACCCACAACACCAUUUCUUCCCUACUCUUUCAGUUUAGCACCCAUCUUGCAGAAGACGGGACUUUUGCUCAGGAACACAACCUGAGUCUUAAAUGUAUAACACAUGGACUAACUUUAUUCUGACCUUAACCCCGGGCCACUGGAACAGCAUCCAACCAAGUUAUUUCAGCCAUCGAGGUUGAUUUGUGAUCAAGGCCCAGACGGUUUCUACCAUCCCCCUGCUUUCUCAGCUCAAAGCUGCAUUUUCUGUUGCUUAAAAAUUUGCAUAUUUUCUCAGUGCCUGUUUCUGAUUCACAAUAAACAAUGCUCAGACCUCCUGCCAAAAAAAUGUCCAAGCGCGAAAUAGUUGCUAUAAUAGUCGUUUUUGUGAUGGCAACUUUGAGCUGUAUGCUUUUAAAUUAUAAUUACUUUUUUUUUCCUACAAAAGAUGUGUAUCUGUCUUGAUUGCUGUGAUUAUGAUUCUAUACCCACAAACAGUUAUAAAAGGCUCAUGUCAUGGCUGUGCCUCAUGAAACCCUUGCUUUUCAGUAAGCAUCCUCUGGUGACCGUAUUAUGCUUGUGUUUAAUUUGCGGCUGAGGAACCUAAUGAGAAGCUAUUAAUCAUUGAACGUGUAUAUAAAAAUGUGUGUCCCUAAAUAAACAGACCAAAGAGGAGAUGCAAGCCCA